GACAGAGGUGCCAAGCGUUAGGCGGAAUCACUGGGCUUAAAGCGUGUGUAGGCGGAUUCCUAAGUACCUUGUGAAAUCCCACGGCUCAACCGUGGAACUGCUCGGUAUACUGGGUAUCUUGAGCCACUUAGGGGCGACCGGAACAAAUGGUGGAGCGGUGAAAUGCGUAGAUAUCGGAAGGAACAUCAGUGGCGAAAGCGGCUUCCUGGACCAGAACUGACGAUCAGGCACGAAAGCGUGGGGAGCAAACAGG
rnacentral:rRNA from 1 species